CAUGGCUGUCGUCAGCUCGUGUCGUGAGAUGUUGGGUUAAGUCCCGCAACGAGCGAAACCCUCAUCCUUAUUUGCCAGCGGUUCGGCCGGGGACUAUAAGGAAACUGCCGGUGAUAAACCGGAGGAAGGUGGGGACGAUGUCAAGUCAUCAUGGCCCUUAUGGGUUGGGCUACACGCGUGCUACAAUGGUAUCUACAGAGGGACGCAAUACGGCAACGUGGAGCAAAUCCUCAAAAGAUAUCUCAGUUCGGAUUGGUCUCUGCAACUCGAGACCAUGAAGUCGGAAUCACUAGUAAUCGCGGAUCAGCAUGCCGCGGUGAAUACGUUCUCGGGCCUUGUACACACUGCCCGUCACGCCAUGGGAGUUGGUUUUACCUGAAGGUGGCAAGCUAACGUAAGAGGCAACCAACCACGGUAGAAUUAGCGACUGGGGUGAAGUCGUAACAAGGUAGCCGUAGGGGAACCUGCGGCUGGAUUACCUCCUUA
rnacentral:rRNA from 1 species